GGAUUGGGAUAUUCCGACUCCUUAAGGGCCUGGCGCACAUAAGGUGUGACCUUUUCAUUCCCGUUGUUAUGGAGGUAGGCUCUCUAGGAAUCUGGGAGUAGUAGCUGGGGGGCAAGAGCAAAUAAAGAGCUCGAGCUUCUGUGGUCUCUGGGGAGAUGUUCCCGGGAAGCCUGUCUAGAGGGCGGAGGGCAGCUGUUGAGAUGGCGUGGCUCCCCGGCUCCUGCGCCCGCGUGGCUUUCGCGGCGGGCGCUGCGGCCCGGUAUUGGACAGCCUGGCAGGGCAGCGCGGGGCCGAAUCCGGCUGCCGUGGCUGAGGCUCAUGGAUCACUCUUUUGUGGUAGGGCCACAUCUGCCAGAGCCUGGAGUCUGCGAAGGCCGGGACCCGGUUCCCCGGCCCACAGUGGGGGUGUGCAAACCCGAGAGAACUGGGAAGUGCCGUCAGAAGCGAUAACUGACGACGUCUAAUGUCUAUCUGACCGCAGUCGCUGAAACCUCUACAACUUAGUUGACCGUAACUGCCAGAGCCCUGCCCUGAAUUCCUGUCCUUACUCCCUCUUUAAGAUUGCGUACCCACUGCAGAGUGCUGAAGACGGGGUAGCCACGAGGUUGCAAAUUCGUGAAGAAUCAGCAUCAUGUUUGGCAGCUGAGUAUUGGAGCCAGGAGCCUGCCAUGAGGUUUUGAGAACAGAGUGCUGUUUUAGAGCUGGCAGCAGCAUCUCAGCCCAAGAGAAGGUUAUAUUCCCAGAGGAUGUCAGUCCCAAGGACCAGUAGCUGCCAUCAGUUUGGAUUCUGAAAACUAACUGGCAUCAACACUGGGUGUAGAAACAUGCUUGCCUUAUGUAUCAGAGGACAUGCUCAGCAGAUCCAAGAGAUAUAUUUGGCAACUUUUUCUAGAAAAGGCACAUUGGGUAUCAUUCAUUACAUUCUUGAGUUUUUUUGGGUUUUUUUUUUUUUUUUUGAGACAGUCUUGCUGUAUUGCCCAGGCUGGAGUGUGGUGGCACAAUCACAGCUCAUUGCAUCCUCAAUCACCCAGGCCUAAGCAAUCCUCCCACCUUGUAGCUGGGACUACAGCUCACAGCACACCUGGCUAAAAUUUUUUUUUUGUUGAGACGGAUUCUCUAUGUUGCCCAGGCUGGUCUCAGGCUCCUGGGCUCAGAUGGUCCUCCUGCCUCAGCUUCCAAAGGCACAGGCCAAGUUGUAGCUUUGUCCCUUGCCAUCAUGCCCAACAAGAGGUUCUAUACCUUUUAAUGAAUUGACUUUCAUAAAUUGGUUAUGUUGGUGGGCAAAGUUCUUUAAGCUGGAAAUUGUAAAUUCCUCCUGAAAUGUUUUUUCAUGCAGUUACCAUGAACUAAUACUACAAUAAAGGAUGGUCUUGGGUGUCAAUUCUUGAAAA
rnacentral:lncRNA from 1 species